rnacentral:lncRNA from 1 species
UAACUAGAUCUUUUUCUGCCAUGUGAGAAUACAACAAGAAGUUAGCAUUCUGCAUCCCAGAAGAGGACACUCACUAGAACCCAACUGUGCUACAUCCUGAUCCUGAUCUCAGAUUUCCAGUUCCCAGUACUCUUCUAGGAAUGUUAUUGGCAGGUGGCAUUUAAAUCUCAGCCCCUUCAGGGUUUACCUGAACUGCAGAGAACGAGCCUACCUGACCAAGUACAAGAUCCUUUCCAAGUCAGCCCAGGAGGGAUGACUGACAGAGCAGAGGCAGAAAGGACCAGCCAUUCUGGAGCAGGAUAAGUGUUGAUCCCAAGGGCUCGCAUAGAAAACACGUGCACAUUAAACUCAGUAUCCUAAUCUGCUUGUAGACAAAUGUUACCUGCAACAUCCAGUGGAAGAGAGUAGGAAUUCGGGAAGAUUAAAGUUGCCACCAUUGCAGAGAAAAAUCAUUAUUGAGCCGGGUCUCAAAUUUAUUAUUAUUACCAUUUUCCACAUACUGGUG